rnacentral:tRNA from 1 species
CGCGACGGCUCAAGGCGAGAGGCGGCUCUCAUAAGGCUGACCGCGAGGGUUCAAUUCCCUCCGUCGCGACCA